rnacentral:rRNA from 1 species
UACGAAGGGGGCUAGCGUUGCUCGGAAUCACUGGGCGUAAAGCGCACGUAGGCGGCUUUCUAAGUCAGGGGUGAAAUCCUGGAGCUCAACUCCAGAACUGCCUUUGAUACUGAAGAUCUUGAGUUCGGGAGAGGUGAGUGGAACUGCGAGUGUAGAGGUGAAAUUCGUAGAUAUUCGCAAGAACACCAGUGGCGAAGGCGGCUCACUGGCCCGAUACUGACGCUGAGGCACGAAAGCGUGGGGAGCAAACAGGG